CGCUGCUCAGAGCAAAGCCGCCGAAAGGCGGUGACGCAGAGCUUUAGGGGACUACCGCGACCCAAGGUCGCCACGUCAGCCCGGCCGCCAGC
rnacentral:ncRNA from 1 species